rnacentral:tRNA from 1 species
GGGGGGAUAGCACAAGGGCUUAAGGCAUUGGUUUGCUACAUCAUGCAUGGGUUCGAAUCCCAUUUCUUCCA